CUCAUGUUUGCCUUUCAGUUCCGACCUUUGCUUCCUGGACUUCUCAGCCAUGCACCUGUCAGCUCCCCGCUGUGCUUGUCCCUCCAUGCAUUAUCCCUCCCCACGCUGGACAGGGCCUUGUUUCCUGUGCUCCUUCACCAUCACCACAGCCCUGCUGUCACGUGACAGGCUCGAUGAACCCAGGCCUACGGAGGGGGGAACAGCGAAGCGGAGGUAGGAGGAGCUUCCCAGAGGACGUUUGCCGGAAGUGAGUCAUGAGGGCUAUACGGGAGUUAAGAGGUAGACAGGCCAAAGACAGAAGGGUAAGGCACUGCUUGUGCAUGGAGUCUGGAAAGAGCUCCAUAAGGUCAAGAGCUCAGAGCUGCCCAGGGCAAGAGGGAUACAGAGAUCAUUAACCAGGAAGCCACCAAGAGACACUGCAGUCUCCCGUUUGUGUGUCUUAUUUUCUCUGGAGCCAGAAGGUCUUUCAUCUUGGGAUUUCUCUGGGAUUGUGCUUCAUGUUUCAAUCUCAUUCUCUCUUGUCUGGUUUUAUCUAUCUCUUUGACAGAUUAGAUGGUUGCCCCACUGUUUCCAACUUUCUCAACAGCAUGAAUUAUGGAAGCCACACACUACUGGGAGAACCUGAUUGGCUCAGCUUGAGUCAUGUGCUCCCUGUCGUCCAAUCAGAUGUAACCAGGAAGAUGAAGUCAUUUCCUACAAUUAAUAUUGGUGUGGUCAAUCAUCUUGGGUAUCCAGAAAGGGACUCACAGUCCUCCUAAAGACUCUAAUAUUUCCAACCUUAGUUUUCUCUUCUAGGAAGUGGGGUGACAGUUUCUACCUAUAAUGAAGGGGAAAGGAGAUAAGGGACUCCUCACCUCCAGGAUGUGCCUGGUCCUGCUGACAGCACCUCCCUGCCGAACCUGGAUCCACUAGCUCCAGGUCACGGUCAAGCUGGACCUGCCCCAUGAGCCUUGGCAAUGGUCUGUGGAUCUCAGUCAGCCUGAAAUGAAGUUUGCAUGGAGGGCUGGCCAGCAAGUGUCUGCUCCUGCCCUUGGCUCUCCCCAGUGUCAUCCCAGGUCACCAAGAUUCUUCCCGACUGAGAUGUGUUGCUCUUGCAGACCAAGAUGUUUAUUAGUUCUACUAAUUCAAUAAAUACAUUCCUUAUCUACCAAGAGAACAGGAUAUACCAAGCUUGCGUUACCACAUGCAGAAUCUCUUACAAGCCUCAGAAGGCUUCUCCUGUCUGUGAAAGGCCAAGCAUGUGGUUGUCUCUGUGAAGAAGGCUCUGAAUGUUGCUGAUCCUGGGAUAAUCAGCCAGGAAGGCCGAAGCUCCCGGAGCAGACAAGGUGACUCAGGGCUGGCAGCCACAGCAUCUCCACAGCAGAAUCUUGGUCUCUGGGCAGAAGAUGCUGCAGCAAGCUGCUGGACUGAGCUGCUUCCUGCCCCCUCAGACCUAAUGAGAAGAGAC
ensembl:lncRNA